CUUUUAGGCGUGUUUGAAGUAUAAAUAAUGCUGAUGUGACUGAUUGAUCUUUAGACAUUGUGCGGUGACACUCUGUCUCCAAAAGCUUUUGUAAUAAACGGAAUAAACGGUACGGUAAUUGACCUGACUCCUGGUGUGUUAUUCUCCUUUCCAACAAAUCAACUUGGGGAAGUGUUAGACUUCAACAAUUUUGGGGGCUUCGUCCGGGAUUGGGUAAAGGAGAAGGAAUUCGAUCCGGUCCAGCUAACCUACACAGGAUUCACAGGUUCCAGCGCCGGCACAUCAAAAAGAAGAAGAAUCAGAAUUGGAGGAUUCGGAGGAAUCUGACUAGUCUGAGUCAGAUGAUGACUCUGACUCCUUGACGGUUGUGUGCCUUCAGCUUCCACAAUUCCACUUCAGCUUUUGAUUUAGCCAAUACUGCAUGGAAGGUGGGUGCUGCUGCAGCCUGUGUACCUGCAUAUAUAUUUUAUAUAGUCAAAUGUUGUGACCUCAACCAGGCUGUUUUUUAAACCAUUGAUGUUCCACUGAGAGGGUAAUCGUCAUGACAUUGCCACAAUCCAAAGUAAGAAGCUUAUACACAUAUACAGUAUCUCACAAAAGUGAGUACACCCCUCACAUUUUUGUAAAUAUUUGAGUAUAUCUUUUCAUGUGACAAAACUAAAGAAAUGACACUUUGCUACCAUGUAAAGUAGUGAGUGUACAGCUUGUAUAACAGUGUAAAUGUGUUGUCCCCUCAAAAUAACUCAACAUAAAGCCAUUAAUGUCUAAACUGCUGGCAACAAAAGUGAGUACACCCCUAAGUGAAAAUGUCCAAAUUGGGCCCAAUGAGCCAUUUUCCCUCCCUGUGGUCAUGUGACUCAUUAGUGUUACAAGGUCUCAGGUGUGAAUGAGGAGCAGGUGUGUUCAAUUUGGUGUUAUUGCCCUCACACUCCCGGGUCACUGGAAGUUCCACAUGGCACCUCAAUGCAAAAACCUAAUUGUUGCUCUACAUAAAGAUGGUCUAGGCUAUAAAAAGAUUGCCAAGACCCUGAAACUGAGCUGCAGCACGGUGGCCAAUACCAUACAGCAGUUUAACAGGACAGGUUCCACUCAGAACAGGCCUCGCCAUGGUCGACCAAAAAAGUUCAGCGUCAUAUCCAGAGGUUGUCUUUGUGAAAUAAACGUAUAAGUGCUGCCAGCAUUGCUGCAGAGGCCAUCUUGUCACUUCCGGCAUCACCGGUGGCCAUCUUGUCACAGGCAGGCUUCCUGGUGGGCUCUGUGGUACCUAAUAUAAGGUGAGUGAUCAGCACUAACACAAAUACUCUUAUCUCGCUGAAACCUUGACAGAUUUACAAACGGUUUGGUUUCUUACAAACGUUAUUAACGUGGCUAAAAUUCUGAAUGCUUGAAAAUGUUGAAAUUGCAGCUUUUCUUUUCUAGAAACGUCUAAAUCGUGCAGCAUAGUUGGAUCACGGCUACUUGCGCAAGUUAUCAAGAAAGAUAUCACAAACGAGCUGUUCGAUUAUAGAGGUUUUACUGACACCAAUAACGGUUUUAUGACAACUAAUCUUUUGUCUAAAUUACAAUAUUUGUGGAUGUGGUUGUAGUUCUUUGCUGGCUAAUAACAAUAAGCUUUGAGUGAGACCUAUGGCAGCUAACGUUACAGUUUAGCUGCUAACCAGCAAAGUUGCACAUGCUUUUCAAUCCGGUUGGUUCCUGUGUUGCUUGAAGGACAGCAAUAUGUCCUGACCUACAGGUUCAGCCAGGACCACUUGGAGCUUCUCUUCAACUCCAUCAGAGUAUCUGGUAGGGUUCAUAAUUUAUAUUUACCAGCCGCAACACUAAGUGACUUGUAUUGUUUUCAGUUUGUCGGUCCAUAUGUUUUUUUACUUUUGGUAACAUGUGUUUUCUGCAGACAUACACCCUUACCCUAAGACAUACACAAUACCUGGAAGUGUCACAAACCAUUUUGAGUAUUUAGAGAAAUGCCUGUGUUUGACUAUUUGUUUGCAGAACUUAUCAUCACUGAUACAGUCUGAAUUGUAUGAUAAUGUCAUUCAACCUAUUUUAUGUGGAAAGAUCAUUCAGGGGUGGCUAGUUCUAAUUAUUCUUUUUUUGUAAAAAAAAUUUAAGCAUAAAACAUUUUAAAGCAUGUAUUGAAUAUCUGUGUACUAUUCUUUUUCCUUAAAUGAAUAACAACCCUAAUGCCAGCCAGUUCAAGUACAUAUUUAGGAUGUAAAGCUGAUGGCCCAGUGUGGGGUUGUUAAACCAUGCAGAGGCAAUGUGACGGCACAGGAUGACACAGAGUCACUACCAGCUGUCAUUGACACCUCUACAAGCCUGUCAGCUGUAGAUGUGUCCUCUGCAGCAGGAGGAGAAGAUCUUCCAUCCCCGUUUGCUGACAUUCCUGCCCUUGUACAUGAUCACAGCUACCUUCCCGUCCACUUCGAUGGUCUUGUGGACAACGUUCUCAUGUACAUUUCAGGAUUUGUUGUGCGACAGGCUCUGAAGAAGCUGUCGUGUGAUGUCUGCCAUGCCAGCCUGGUGACAUGCUGCAUCUGCCAUCAAGGACCUGCUGAAUUAAAAAAACAAUGGAGGUGAUUCCAUCAGAGGGAACCGUGAGUGUCGUCAGGGCAGCAGAGUGGGUCGUUCGGCAGUCAUCAGGCAGUACCAGACGAUCACAGCCUAUCAAACUGCUUGAGGAUGUUUACAUUGUCUGAAAAAGGAUCGGUUCAGAGGAUGUGUUUGUGUUGGGAUAGACAGUAUGGGAUAGACAUCCACCACCAUAGGCUGUUAAAAAUAAUUCUGUCCCUGUUUUUUAAGUUAAGGCUGCACCACAUCGCCAGAAUUACAAUCCUCAGCUUACAGAGCAACAACAUGCAACAGAAACUUAAUUAAACUGUCCUUUUCAAAGGGCAUUAGCCCAAGGUAUGUGUUUUCAAGGUACUGUCCUCUUUUACUUCAACAGUAGUGUAGUUCUCUCUACAGCAUUUCUUUUUUGGAUAUUUGUAAAGGGGAAUCAUAUACCUAUUUUUUUU
ensembl:lncRNA